UACGUAGGGUGCAAGCGUUAAUCGGAAUUACUGGGCGUAAAGCGUGCGCAGGCGGUUUUGUAAGUCAGAUGUGAAAUCCCCGGGCUUAACCUGGGAACUGCGUUUGAAACUACAAGGCUAGAGUGUGACAGAGGGGGGCGGAAUUCCAGGUGUAGCGGUGAAAUGCGUAGAUAUCUGGAGGAACACCGGUGGCGAAGGCGGCAUCCUGGACCAACACUGACGCUGAGUGAGCGAAAGCCAGGGGAGCAAACGGG
rnacentral:rRNA from 1 species